CCAACUUCAGAGUCACACAGUGUUACACUUGGACCUACGUGGUUAUCACCAAAAUGAGGUUUCCAACACACUGUCCUGUUGGGGUUUAUUAUGAGGAAUUGGCUCACAUGAUUAUGGAAGCUGAGAAGUCCUAAGAUCUACUAUCUGAAAGCUGGAGACCCAGGAAAGCCAGUGGUGAAAUCCAAUCUGAAUCCCCGAAGGCCUGAAGGCCAGAGUGCAUGGUGUAAAUCCCUGUCCAAGGGCAGGAGAAGACAGAUGUCCCAGCUCAAGCAGUCAGCUUCCAGGUGAUGCUGCUGAGUUUCAGACCACACUUUGAGUAGCAAGACUCUAGAACAGUGAUUCUCAAACAGAUGAUUUUGGC